rfam:Clostridium sp. ATCC 29733 genomic scaffold Scaffold15, whole genome shotgun sequence.
CACUUAUCAAGAGUGGCUGAGGGAACAGGCCCUGUGAAGCCCGACAACCUGCCCCCCGCGGGGGUGCAAGGUGCCAAAUCCUGCGGGUAAAGCCGAAAGAUAAGCU